rnacentral:rRNA from 1 species
CGUAGGUGGCAAGCGUUGUCCGGAUUUAUUGGGUUUAAAGGGUGCGUAGGCGGCUUUGUAAGUCAGUGGUGAAAUACUCCAGCUCAACUGGAGAGGUGCCAUUGAUACUGCAGAGCUAGAGUACUGAUGAGGUAGGCGGAAUGGACGGUGUAGCGGUGAAAUGCUUAGAUAUCGUCCAGAACACCGAUAGCGAAGGCAGCUUACUAAAGAGUAACUGACGCUGAGGCACGAAAGUGUGGGGAUCAAACAGGAUUAGAUACCCUGGUAGUCCACACUGUAAACGUUGAUCACUAGAUGUUGGCGAUACGCUGCCAGCGUUCCAGCAAAAGCGAUAAGUGAUCCACCUGGGGAGUACGCCCGCAAGGGUG